AAUUUUUCAGGUCAAAUUUUUUAAAUUUACCAUACCCACAUUAAGUUCAGCAUUUCUACGAUCUAAGAAAUAUACGGAAUAGGCCCAAUUUUUUACGAAUAAAAAUUUGAUGUGGCACUUUCGACCAAAAGGACAAAUACGGCGUAAAAUCGAUUAAACAAUUUCAAACUAAGACUCCCUUGGAUAGCAUGGACAAGAAAAUGUCUUCUUCGCAGCCGCGUAUUUUGAAAAAGAAACAUUUCCGCGUAAAACAUCAAAAAGUAAAGCUUUUUAGAGCUAAUGAACCGAUUUUAAGUGUUUUCAUGUGGGGUAUUAAUCAUACGAUAAAUGAACUAAGUCAUGUUAAUAUUCCUGUGAUGCUUUUGCCGGAUGAUUUUCGAGCAUAUUCAAAAAUCAAAGUUGAUAAUCACCUGUUUAAUAAGGAAAACAUGCCGUCACACUUUAAAGUCAAAGAAUACUGCCCUUUGGUAUUUCGGAAUUUGCGUGAAAGGUUUAGCGUUGAUGACGUUGAUUACCGCGAAUCAUUAACUCGUUCUCAGCCUGUACGCAUUGAGUCAUCCGGAAAAUCUGGUGCACAAUUCUACCAAAGCUAUGAUAAAUUUUUCAUAAUUAAAAGCUUGACAUCCGAGGAAAUUGAGCGUAUGCAUGCGUUCUUAAAACAAUAUCAUCCCUAUGUCGUAGAGAAGCAUGGCAAAACUCUCUUACCGCAGUAUUUAGGUAUGUAUAGGAUAACUGUUGAGAGCGGGCAGUAUUAUUUUGUGGUUAUGCGUAACGUAUUCAGUUCACAUCUAACGAUUCACAAAAAAUUUGAUUUAAAAGGCAGUACGGUUGAUCGCGAGGCAUCUGAAAAAGAGUUAGAAAAACAUUUGCCUACGUAUAAAGACAAUGAUUUUAUAAAGCAAAAAAUCAAAAUUGAAAUUGGGGAAGAAACAAAAAAAAAAUUAUUGGACACGUUGUCAAGUGACGUUGAUCUCCUAACAAAGUUACACAUAAUGGAUUAUUCGCUCCUAGUUGGUAUACAUGACUGUGUACGUGCCGAAGAAGAAGCUUUGCAAGGGGAAAACUCUCAAGUGACUGGACGAAGCGAAAAUAGCGAAAGCGAGGAAUGUGAUAGUGGAGAAAGAUGGACUUAUAAUACACCGCCUGAUUCACCGCGAGGCGCACAAUAUAAAGAAGUAGUCUAUGAAGUUGACAUCUAUGCCAUUCCAAGUAUUGAAGACAGACGAGAAAUAUACUUUAUUGCCAUUAUAGAUGUUUUAACGCAAUAUGGUGUGAAAAAGCAGGGCACAUUCAUAAGCUGUUCAAGUUGCAAAGGGUGAGUGCUGAUUGCCAAUCAGGAGAACUACGGUCGCUUGUGGACCGCAUGUUCGAGCUUUGCAGUCUCUGGGCUCCAUCGAACAAAUAGCCGAUUGUUUGAUCCAACGCAUUAAGGCACAGAAAUUGGAUGCCAGCAGGCAUAAGCAAUGGGAAGUACGAGUUUUCGCUGAAAGGCUGCCCACUUGGAGCCCACUUAGCACUCAGGUGAUACGAUCGUUGUCGAUGAAUCUCCAAUCAACCUUCAAGGAUGUUCCCUUCUAAAUUUAGCAAAAAUAGGAUGAAAAUAUAUAAAAUAUGUUCCGUAAAUAGUUACACUUGGUCUUACAGUAUAUAUGCUGAAACAACUUCCGCCCUUGACAAGCCAUGCUUAACUGCUGUAUAAUAAUACCUACCGUGGCCCACGAUACGCGUAAUGUGUUUACGAUUUCUACCUUUCACGAUAGCGGAAUGGUAUCUGAAUUUAACUGACAUUAAGCUUAACCGUAAAGCCUAAAACGACUACGACGGCGUUACUUAAGCCGUUGAAGUCGUAGACAAGCUUAUUUUCUAUUAUUCUCCUCUUAAAAAAAGUAUGACAUGGUACAAAAAACUCGCAUACGACCUUUUGUUUCAGACUGCUUAAGAAAACAAACGCGUCUUAUACAACGAACUUACACAUAAAACUUUUAUUAUACUGCAAAUUCAGGAAAUAAUUAUUCGGUCUUGCUUCGGCAAGUUAGCCAACAAAAAGCAUCAGCUACGGCUUCCAAUACAUGGAAAUUACUACCGCUGGCCAAAGCCAAUCAUAAACCCCGAAGAAUAAUGGAAAGCUUGUUCAGAUAGCUCUACCUGCAAUAAAAGUAAACGCACUGCCUGAGGCAUUCUCCUUCGAGUCAAACAAGUAAAUAUGGAAUGCAAUACGAGUAUAAGUUCCAAAGUCUUUUAUCUUAAUUGUUUCAAUCAAAAUCAUUCAAAAAUACUACAAUGCAUUGAUUUAUACGCAAUGAAUAUAAAAAUAAGAAGCUCACAUUCCCGCCAAUUAUUUCUAAGGCUUUUCACGCAUAUUCAAGCAAGUAUUUGAAAAACCCCAAUUUUUUUAGUUUAUAAUUUAUAUACAAUAUUAUAGUAUUGUAACAAAAUGCGAAUAUUGCCCAAACGACAAAUAUGUA